GUUAAUUGUGACAUGUAGUGC
rnacentral:piRNA from 1 species